rnacentral:rRNA from 7 species
GCCUACGGCAUCCCACCCUGGGUACGCCCGAUCUCGUCUGAUCUCGGAAGCUAAGCAGGGUCGGGCCUGGUUAGUACUUGGAUGGGAGACCUCCUGGGAAUACCGGGUGCUGUAGGCU